rnacentral:rRNA from 1 species
GCGCAGCAGGCGAGAAUUUUUCACAAUGGGGGAAACCCUGAUGGAGCGACGCCGCGUGGAGGAUGAAGGCCUUUUGGUCGUAAACUCCUGUCAAACGGGAACAAGAAAGUGAUAGUACCGUUAGAGGAAGAGGCGGCUAACUCUGUGCCAGCAGCCGCGGUAAUACAGAGGCCUCAAGCGUUGUUCGGAUUCAUUGGGCGUAAAGGGUGCGUAGGUGGCUUGUUAAGUUGAAGGUGAAAUCUCGGGGCUCAACUCCGAAACUGCCUUCAAUACUGGCGAGCUCGAGGAUUGUAGAGGAGAAUGGAAUUCACGGUGUAGCAGUGAAAUGCGUAGAUAUCGUGAGGAAGACCAGUGGCGAAGGCGAUUCUCUGGGCAAUUCCUGACACUGAGGCACGAAGGCCAGGGGAGCAAACGGGAUUAGAUACCCGCGUAGU